CAGACUGCAGGCUGCAACUCGCCUGCACGAAGUCGGAAUUGCUAGUAAUCGUAGGUCAGCAUACUACGGUGAAUACGUUCCCGGGCCUUGUACACACCGCCCGUCAAACCAUGAGAGUUGGCAACACCCGAAGUCGGUAGUCUAACCGCAAGGAGGACGCCGCCGAAGGUGGGGUUGAUGAUUAGGGUUAAGUCGUAACAAGGUAUC
rnacentral:rRNA from 1 species